CCGCCCAUCUAGUGUAAAUGAAGUAAAGACAACACAAGCUCCGAGCCAAUCAGAGGAAGAGUGGUUCCCUAGGUUUAAGUUCCCCGCCACUUGUGAAAGAGCUCUCUAAAAUCUUCGGAGAAGUGCUGCUCGUUCUUAAAGCCGACGGUGGAGGGAGUCUACAAAAUUCUGGAGAAAUAAGUAGUUUCCGUGAACAAGUCUGUGAGAGAUUUUACAGAAGAAGAAGAAGUUUCCAUGAUCAAGAUCGAGAGUUUCAGAUCUGAAGUUGAGAUUCCGCUAAGUCAUCACAUCACACAUCCGUUUCGUUAAAUCACACUGAUAUGGAGUUAUAGUUCAUGUAAAGUAUGCUUGAUGCUUUAAGUACGCUUCGUCGAGCUUAGUUGCUUUGCAUAUAUAGUUUGUUGUGUUCGAGUGCGCUUUCCUGUUUUCAUUGGUCUCAGAGAGACUGGGUCGCUCCCAAGAGGCUGAGUGUUGCAUGACGAUGUAACUGGGAUCUCCGUCGU